rnacentral:rRNA from 1 species
CCUACGGGUGGCAGCAGUGGGGAAUAUUGGACAAUGGGGGCAACCCUGAUCCAGCCAUGCCGCGUGUGUGAAGAAGGCCCUCGGGUUGUAAAGCACUUUCAGUGAGGAAGAACGCCUGGUGGUUAAUACCCAUCAGGAAAGACAUCACUCACAGAAGAAGCACCGGCUAACUCCGUGCCAGCAGCCGCGGUAAUACGGAGGGUGCGAGCGUUAAUCGGAAUUACUGGGCGUAAAGCGCGCGUAGGUGGCUUGAUAAGCCGGUUGUGAAAGCCCCGGGCUCAACCUGGGAACGGCAUCCGGAACUGUCAAGCUAGAGUGCAGGAGAGGAAGGUAGAAUUCCCGGUGUAGCGGUGAAAUGCGUAGAGAUCGGGAGGAAUACCAGUGGCGAAGGCGGCCUUCUGGACUGACACUGACACUGAGGUGCGAGAGCGUGGGUAGCAAACAGGAUUAGAUACCCUGGUAGUC